rnacentral:snoRNA from 1 species
UAACCAUGGUGGGGGAAGGGGCUUGCAAUUCUUUGUACCUUUUCCACGCUUGAUAUAAAGUUUCACUCUCUUUUUGAGUAAAAGAAGAUAUUUACUUUUUCAAUGC